rnacentral:rRNA from 1 species
ACACAUGCAAGUCGCACGAGAAAGUCCUUCGGGAUGAGUAGAGUGGCGCACGGGUGAGUAAUACAUGGGAACGUGCCUCUGAAUGGGGGAUAACUACGGGAAACUGUAGCUAAUACCGCAUAGAAACGAGAGUUUAAAGCUGGCCUCUAUUUAUAAGCUAGUGUUCAGAGAUCGGCCCAUGUCCCAUUAGCUAGUUGGCGGGGUAAAAGCCCACCAAGGCGACGAUGGGUAGCUGGUCUGAGAGGACGAUCAGCCACACUGGGACUGAGACACGGCCCAGACUCCUACGGGAGGCAGCAGUGGGGAAUCUUGGACAAUGGGCGCAAGCCUGAUCCAGCCAUGCCGCGUGAGUGAAGAAGGCCUUAGGGUUGUAAAACUCUUUCGCCGGAGAAGAUAAUGACGGUAUCCGGAGAAGAAGCCCCGGCUAACUUCGUGCCAGCAGCCGCGGUAAUACGAAGGGGGCUAGCGUUGUUCGGAAUUACUGGGCGUAAAGCGCACGUA